UUCGUGCCAAUCGGAGUUCAAAUCGAGGGUCAAUUUGAUUCGCCGGAGUUCGGUGGCGGGAUAGCUUCGGCCGACUGUUUUUGGCCAAAUCGGAAGGCUUCCGGUGGUCUUUUCCGAGCAAGAUUGGUACCAUUGGGAUCGAAUAAGGGAGAGGAACAGCCUGGUGUCGUCGCUUCAAUUUUUCGGUGUGCCGUCGCCGGAGAAGAUGACCGGAGGGUGCCUUGAGGGUUGAGACGAAGUGACUCGUGCGAAGAUCGAAGAAGGCACGCAAAUCGAGGCAGGCACGCAAAUCGAGGCGUACCGAAAUAUCGCCAAAUGUGAAAGCGGUGGCGCCAAGGGAAAGAAUAUCAUCGAGAUGUAGCGGCUAUGUUUAGUUUUCGUAGGUUUUGUCCAUGAUUACGAUGUUCAGAGGUUAUGUAAUAUUUUGAUAUUUUCAUGUGAAACAUCGAUUUGGUUAUUGUAAAGGAAUUGUCGGUCAUAUAUCAUUGAGGUUUCGAUCUUGCU